UACAACAUUUCUGUCCUAUGGUAACAGUAUUUCAAAGCACUUCAAUUCUUGUCGUUUUCAGAAUAACCAUUUGAAGUGAAUUGUUGGCCUUGGACAAACUCCUCGAGGAGAGAGUGACAUCUGUGUCACAAAAGAAGCCAUUGUUAUGGGCACAGCUAAUGGUAGUGCGUGGCGUAGACAAACAUUAAUGGGCUCAUAAAUCUGUCAAAACAAGAACUGAAGAAAUGACACGUAUGAGUUAAUAUUCACCUUUUUGGAGGAGAUGUCUUUUCUGAGUACAGGAGGAGGAUUUAGGGCUGAAUGCUAACACUCAGAAGUUUAGCAAGGACAGCUGUAUCUUUUAACCCUGAGGACUGCUCUGUGUCCCUGGAUCUAAAGCCUGCAAAUCAGCUGAAAGUGUGCAGUGACUGGGAAAUUCAUAGCUUGCAAGCUUCAAUUGCUGGAACAUACUGAGUCAUCAAAUGCAUAUUCCUUUGUAGAUGGAUCUUCUUGUGAAAUACAGAAUAUCUUGAAUGAACAAAGAACUUGGA
rnacentral:lncRNA from 1 species